UACGUAGGGUGCAAGCGUUGUCCGGAAUUAUUGGGCGUAAAGAGCUCGUAGGCGGUUUGUCGCGUCUGCUGUGAAAACCCGAGGCUCAACCUCGGGCCUGCAGUGGGUACGGGCAGACUAGAGUGCGGUAGGGGAGAUUGGAAUUCCUGGUGUAGCGGUGGAAUGCGCAGAUAUCAGGAGGAACACCGGUGGCGAAGGCGGGUCUCUGGGCAGUAACUGACGCUGGAGGAGCGAAAGCGUGGGGAGCGAACAGG
rnacentral:rRNA from 1 species